rnacentral:rRNA from 1 species
UACGGAGGAUGCGAGCGUUAUCCGGAUUUAUUGGGUUUAAAGGGUGCGUAGGCGGCCGAGUAAGUCAGCGGUGAAAUUUUGCAGCUUAACUGUAACAGUGCCGUUGAUACUGCAUGGCUAUGAUUUGGUUGCUGUGGGUGGAAUGUGUGGUGUAGCGGUGAAAUGCUUAGAUAUCACACAGAAUAUCAAUUGCGAAGGCAGCUCACAAAGCCAAGAUUGACGCUGAGGCACGAAAGUGUGGGGAUCAAA